rnacentral:ncRNA from 2 species
GAUUUAUACAGACGAGUGGAGAGAAUAGGCUCUAUGAACCUCGGGCAACCUGUCCCGCUACUAGCGAUAAGGUGCCAACACCUACCGAAUGGGUCAGACCUUUCGGACUUAUAAACC